CAGCGUCUAUCGUAGACGUACAGGUGGCGAUCAGCUUCUUAUUGUGUAGUUCGCGGAAUCGCCACGCGAUGUCAGCCGCGUGCUAGUCACAAACGCCAUCUGUCGCAGACAGCAAAAAGUCGAUAUGGCGAAGUAUGGGUAAAAGCGGAGCCAGGGAACAGGCUGUUUACCAGUGUGGUUCACACUUUUAAAAGUUUUGGACCGAGGAAAUACAGCUAACGAAAGUGUCAGCAACACAGAUGAAAGUGAAAGAGGCACUCCCUUCUUCGGCAAUGUUUUUAAGCAGGAAAUAGAGACAUAGGAGCACCAGGAGGAAGAGGGUGAAGUCGACUAGAAUGAACCCCAGCUCAAAGAGCAGUCCCAGAGAAGAAAAAGAAGGAAAUCCUGUGACGUUGUUCUGGAGGCUACCAAAAUUGGUUGAAUUCACUGGGAGCCGUCCUCAGCCACCGAAAGAAGAUCCGUUUUGUGCUUUCUUGAAAUCACUCUGCAUGUGACCUGCGAGAAAUGAGUGUUGUGUGGGGUGGAGCGUGGGGUUGCAUUUGCGAGAGGCACAAUGCACGAAAUCGAUCUCGCUUUGAUGCGCAGACGGGACUUGGCGGCGGUUACGCCACAGCCAUCCACCUCUGCCUCGGACAUGAACCAACCUGCAUUUCAAGAGGCGGG